CCCUUAGAUGUUCUGGGCCGCACGCGCGCUACACUGAUGCAUUCAACGAGUUCCUACCUUGGCCGAGAGGCCUGGGCAAUCUUUUGAACUUGCGUCGUGAUAGGGAUAGAUUAUUGCAAUUAUUAAUCUUGAACGAGGAAUUCCUAGUAAACGCAGAUCAUCAAUCUGCAUUGAUUACGUCCCUGCCCUUUGUACACACCGCCCGUCGCACCUACCGAUUGAAUGGUCCGGUGAAGCCUCGGGAUUGUGGUUAGUUUCCUUCAUUGGAAGUUAGCCGCGAGAACUUGUCUAAACCUUAUCAUUUAGAGGAAGGUGAAGUCGUAACA
rnacentral:rRNA from 1 species